rnacentral:rRNA from 1 species
GAUGAACGCUGGCGGCGGGCCUAAUACAUGCAAGUCGAGCGAACAGACGGGACGCUUUCUUCUUUGAUGGUAGCGGCGGACGGGGGAGUAACACGUGGAGAACACACCUAUAAGACUGGGAUAACUUCGGGAAACCGGUGCUAAUACCGGCUAAUAUUUUCAAGCGCAUGGUUCAAAAGUUAAGGACGGUCUUCCUUUCACUUAUAGCAGGAGCCGCGCUGCAUUAGCUAGUUGGUCAGGUAACGGCUUACCAAGGCAACGAUGCAUAGCCGACCUGAGAGGGUGAUCGGCCACACUGGAACUGAGACACGGUCCAGACUCCUACGGGAGGCAGCAGUAGGGAAUCUUCCGCAAUGGGCGAAAGCCUGACGGAGCAACGCCGCGUGAAUGAAGAAGGUCUUCGGAUCGUAAAACUCUGUUAUUAGGGAAGAAGAUAUGUGUAAGUAAAUGUGUACAUCUUGACGGUACCUAAUCAGGAAGCCACGGCUAACUACGUG